AGUGAACGCUGGCGGCGUGCCUAAUACAUGCAAGUCGAACGGAGGGGCGCACGGGUGAGUAAUAUAUAGCUAAUUUGCCCCUUGCUGGAGGACAACAGUUAGAAAUGACUGCUAAUACUCCAUAGCAAGGGAUGAGACUAUAUCUUAUCAGCUAGUCGGUGGGGUAACGGCCUACCGAGGCUAUGACGCGUAACUGGUCUGGGAGGAUGAUCAGUCACAUUGUACCUGAGGCACGGGCCAGAAUCCUUCGGCAAGGAGCAGUAGGGAAUACUGCGCAAUGGGCGUAACUCUGACGCAUCAACGCCGCGUGGAGCAUGUCACUUUUCGGAGCGUAAACUCCUUUUGUUAGGGAAGCGGUACCUAACGAAUAAGCACCGGCUAACUCCGUGCCAGCAGCCGCGGUAAUUC
rnacentral:rRNA from 1 species